AGCGAACGCUGGCGGCAGGCCUAACACAUGCAAGUCGAACGAAGUCUUCGGACUUAGUGGCGGACGGGUGAGUAACACGUGGGAACGUGCCUUUAGGUUCGGAAUAACUCAGGGAAACUUGUGCUAAUACCGAAUGUGCCCUUCGGGGGAAAGAUUUAUCGCCUCUAGAGCGGCCCGCGUCUGAUUAGCUAGUUGGUGAGGUAAAGGCUCACCAAGGCGACGAUCAGUAGCUGAUCUGAGAGGAUGAUCAGCCACAUUGGGACUGAGGCACGGCCCAAACUCCUACGGGAGGCAGCAGUGGGGAAUCUUGCGCAAUGGGCGAAAGCCUGACGCAGCCAUGCCGCGUGAAUGAUGAAGGUCUUAGGAUUGUAAAAUUCUUUCACCGGGGACGAUAAUGACGGUACCCGGAGAAGAAGCCCCGGCUAACUUCGUGCCAGCCGCCGCAGUAA
rnacentral:rRNA from 1 species